UUCAAAACAUGCUGAUUCGAAAUAUGCAAAUUUUUCUUCAAUUUAUUAGAACCAUUAUAUUCUUUUGACAUGAAAGGUUGUGCUUGUGUUUUAUAGGUUUUAAAAUGAUCUUUCUCCUAUUGAUCUUUAUCACAUAAAUAUUGUACUUACGAAAAUAUGUCACAUUCAAAGCAUGGAACCAUGACUACCUAAAAUGAUACGUGCACUGAACAUUUAGUAGGUUGAAUGGGCACUGAACAUUUUUUGUCACAGAAAUUUUCCGUCUUGUUAUCCUAAGCUUGUAGGAUCCUCUAUUCUUGCACAAGAUGCGCCAUCCAUUUCAUCACAUCAGAUUAUGUUCAGAUGGAUUAAGGUGGGUUGGGGAGUAGCAGAAUAGGGAUGCAAUCAUAUGCAUCUUUUUAUAUUUCUCUUCCAUCCUCAUACAUGUAUGUAAAUGUAUCCUUUCUCCCACCAUCCAUAAAGAGAACCUAAUCAGUCAUAUUCUCUUGUCACCGGGUUGUUCAAUCUUAUGUGUUAAUACAAGUAAUUAGUCUAAUUUUUUACUAAACAGCCAUUGUUAAUCGUGUUGAUAUUUUCCUUCUCUUUCACAGGUUGAACCUGCAACUCUAAUCUCUCUAGCACAUGGUUCCAAACAAGUAUUUCUGUUUCCUUGAUAAGUGCACACAUGCUCACUAGAGGAUACAUAUGCCAGUAAAGAUUACUUUUCAACCCGUGUAGAGGGAGAUGAUUCAGGUUUUUCUGGAGAUGACAUGUAUAAGCAAAUUCUAAAUUGCUGAGAUUAUGAUCAGGAAAUGAUGCAAAUCUUAAAGUUAUACUUAUCAGGAAAUCAGAAAAUGUGCUUUAAAUGAGCAAAUUGACAGGUUGAAUAGUGAUUUUACAUUAGUUAUGCUA